AGAGACUGACUCACUCACACACUCCACGUAUCAUCACAGAAAGAGACUGGCUCACUCACACACUCCACGUAUCAUCACAGAAAGAGACUGGCUCACUCACACACUCCAUGUAUCAUCACAGAAAGAGACUGACUCACACACUCCACGUAUCAUCACAGAAAGAGACUGGCUCACUCACACACUCUACGUAUCAUCACAGAAAGAGACUGGCUCACUCACACACUCCACGUAUCAUCACAGAAAGAGACUGGCUCACUCACACACUCCACGUAUCAUCACAGAAAGAGACUGACUCAUUCACACACUCCACGUAUCAUCACAGAAAGAGACUGGCUCACACACACACUCCACGUAUCAUCACAGAAAGAGACUGACUCACUCACACACUCCACGUAUUCUCACAGAAAGAGACUGACUCACUCACACACUCCACGUAUCAUCACAGAAAGAGACUGGCUCACUCACACACUCUACGUAUCAUCACAGAAAGAGACUGGCUCACUCACACACUCCACGUAUCAUCACAGAAAGAGACUGACUCACUCACACACUCCACGUAUCAUCACAGAAAGAGACUGACUCACUCACACUUUCUAUAUUUUGCAGCUGUAACAUACUGUACCAUUCUCUUCAACUCAUGCAGUCUCUCAAGCUACUGACCAAUUGUCAUUUGUCUUACGACAUAACCUCAUUGACUACAUUACAUAGGACAGCAUUGUGGCUGCCUACCCUCUGACCUUGUUUGAAACAAAUUCUAUAUUUCUAAGCAAAUGAAUGAAUUUUAUGGCUAUUUUAUGUUGAAAUGUUUUUAUAUAGGACAUUGUUAAAGCUGCUAUUUUGCAUGUUUGUAAUAAAUAUUUUAACUGUACUGCAAGUCCAUGUAGGCCAUUUUUGCACAGUGUGUGUCAACCAGUUGAAACCUGUUUCAGAGAGGGAAAACAACUCUGCUGUGUUGCCCACUCCUGUUCCUGUUUGUUUCAGUCUGGGUCAUGAAGUUCAAAACUUUAAUUGCUGUUUGUUUUCAAUGUGUUAACUCUCAAAAUGCACAAUUUAAUUAAUAAUGAAUGCAUUUUGACAAAGUAGAACAAAAAAACAUCCAUGUUAUUGCAAUUAAAACUCGUAUUUAACUGUAAUUAAGGAAGUAAAAUGCUGUUUUGAAUAAAAUGAAUUUCUGUGUGUGUUUUUGUGGAUCCCCA
rnacentral:lncRNA from 1 species